UACACAGCAAAAUCACCAGUGUUAAAUUUUCAGGGAUGGUGUUAAAUACACAGUGUUGAUGCUGUUUUAACACUAUCUGGUAAUAAAAUAACACUGCCAUUGCUAGGCCAGUGUUAUAUUCACGACAGUGUCAGUGUAAAACAAGGGUGUUAUCAGAUUUCACUCUGAGCGGUGUAAAUCAAGCCACGCCUCCACUAAACAUAUCCUGUCAGGGAUUUUACCGCCAUUUUCUUUCAGAGGAGAACUGAAGAGAUCAGGUAAAUCAGUCUCAUAAUAUUCACAUGGUUUAGCUAAAUUAAACUGUUAUUUCUCUGUCUGACUCUACGCAGCCAUAUGCCAAAAAACCUAAAUAAGAUAUUUUUCCCAUUUUAUUUCCCCUUUGUUCGUUAUUUGGUUCAGUUUAAUCAGAGCUACCUUGUGUUACGUUGUUCCCUUGUUAGUUUAGUAUAAAGUUAAACUGCUAGCUAAAAGUUUAAAACCAAGAAGGAUAAUAUUAACAGGAGAUAUGAACGAAAGAAUUGAACCAUGAUAAAACGCGACAUGCACUACAAAUUGAAGGUAUGAAAUUAAGUUAAAUGAAAGCUCGUUUAUUCACCAUAUGAUGCUCGUUAUAAGGUAAUCAUAUAGGCUAGAUACCGUGAGUUAACGAGGUCGUUUACAUGCAUGUGAGUGCACGGAUAUCGGUUAAUUAUUCAAAUUACUGAAAAACACGGAGAAAACCGCAACCGCAUCGUCAUGUGUUUUUCUAAGAUGUAUGCAAACAGGGGAAAUAUCGCCAAACCAACAAUUCAUUUGACCAAAACCUCACAAUAUAUCAUCAUUUGUAUGCACAGAUUGGAUGCAUUGUGGGUUGUAAGCUUUUCGUGGCGCUAGGUGUCAGACAGAUGGCGAACAUUUGUUUUUUUCUGUCAUUAUAGAUGCUAGUUUGGUGAAAGUUCACACUGAGUGCUUCAAAUCAUUCAGAAGAGAUGCUGUUUUUAGGGCAGUUUAUUAAAGAAGACCUGACAUGGUAUGACUCCUAAUGAGAAACGACUGCUAAUACUUAUAUAAAUUCAUUACAGAAGGACCCUACCAGACUAUAUUUGAAUACGGCAUACUCAUGAAUUCUGGAACUGUUAUUCCUUAACCCAGUUUGGAGGAUAAGAGCUUACCAACUAGUUAUAAAUAUGCUGAGGUGAUGUAUUGCAAAAUAGCCAACAUACAACAAUAUGGAUG